rnacentral:rRNA from 1 species
GAUGAACGCUGGCGGCGUGCUUAACACAUGCAAGUCGAACGAUGAACCGGGUGCUUGCACUCGGGGAUUAGUGGCGAACGGGUGAGUAACACGUGAGCAACCUGCACCUGACUCUGGGAUAAGCGCUGGAAACGGCGUCUAAUACUGGAUAUGUCCCGUCAAAGAAUGGGGUGCGGGUGGAAAGAUUUUUCGGUUGGGGAUGGGCUUGCGGCCUAUCAGCUUGUUGGUGAGGGAAUGGCUCACCAAGGCGUCGACGGGUAGCCGGCCUGAGAGGGUGACCGGCCACACUGGGACUGAGACACGGCCCAGACUCCUACGGGAGGCAGCAGUGGGGAAUAUUGCACAAUGGGCGGAAGCCUGAUGCAGCAACGCCGCGUGAGGGAUGACGGCCUUCGGGUUGUAAACCUCUUUUAGCAGGGAAGAAGCGAGAGUGACGGUACCUGCAGAAAAAGCACCGGCUAACUACGUGCCAGCCGCCGCAGUAA